rnacentral:rRNA from 1 species
UUAUGAUUUAAAUUUAAUCUUGAAUAAAAGUAGUUAUGUUCUUCAAAACUCAAAGAUUUGGGCGGUUAAGUUUAAUUUCUCAGAGGAACCUGUAUUAUAAUUGAUAAACCACGAUAGUUUAGACCUUAAAUUUAUUUGUAUACCUCUAUGAUUUAGGAAUGUUUUUAAAGAAUAUUUUCUUUUUGUAUAUUUACUUUAAUUUUAGGUCAAGGUGCAGUUUUAUUAAGGUAAGUAUGGGUUACUUUAGUUUUAAUUUUUUUUAAAUUUUAAUUAAUUAUUUUAGGAUUUGAAAGUAAUUUAAAUAAAUUAAUUUUUUUGAAUUUUUUUAAUUAAUGU